rnacentral:rRNA from 1 species
UACGUAGGGUGCGAGCGUUAAUCGGAAUUACUGGGCGUAAAGCGCGCGUAGGCGGCUUUGUAAGUUAGAGGUGAAAGCCCGGAGCUCAACUCCGGAACUGCCUUUAAGACUGCAUCGCUAGAAUUGUGGAGAGGUGAGUGGAAUUCCGAGUGUAGAGGUGAAAUUCGUAGAUAUUCGCAAGAACACCAGUGGCGAAGGCGGCUCACUGGCCCGAUACUGACGCUGAGGCACGAAAGCGUGGGGAGCAAACAGG